rnacentral:rRNA from 1 species
CCUAGGGGGGCUGCAGUGGGGAAUAUUGGACAAUGGGCGAAAGCCUGAUCCAGCCAUGCCGCGUGUGUGAAGAAGGCCUUCGGGUUGUAAAGCACUUUCAGUGGGGAAGAAAGUCUUGGGGCUAAUACCCUCGAGGAAGGACAUCACCCACAGAAGAAGCACCGGCUAACUCCGUGCCAGCAGCCGCGGUAAUACGGAGGGUGCGAGCGUUAAUCGGAAUUACUGGGCGUAAAGCGCGCGUAGGCGGUCUGAUAAGCCGGUUGUGAAAGCCCCGGGCUCAACCUGGGAACGGCAUCCGGAACUGUCAGGCUAGAGUGCAGGAGAGGAAGGUAGAAUUCCCGGUGUAGCGGUGAAAUGCGUAGAGAUCGGGAGGAAUACCAGUGGCGAAGGCGGCCUUCUGGACUGACACUGACGCUGAGGUGCGAAAGCGUGGGUAGCAAACAGGAUUAGAUACCCUAGUAGUC